rnacentral:rRNA from 1 species
UACGUAGGGGGCAAGCGUUGUCCGGAAUCAUUGGGCGUAAAGCGCGUGUAGGCGGCCCGGUAAGUCCGCUGUGAAAGUCGGGGGCUCAACCCUCGAAUGCCGGUGGAUACUGUCGGGCUAGAGUGCGGGAGAGGCGAGUGGAAUUCCUGGUGUAGCGGUGAAAUGCGCAGAUAUCAGGAGGAACACCAAUUGCGAAGGCAGCUCGCUGGAACGUAACUGACGCUGAGAAGCGAAAGCAUGGGGAGCGAACAGG